rnacentral:rRNA from 1 species
GGAAUCUUGCGCAAUGGGCGAAAGCCUGACGCAGCAACGCCGCGUGGGGGAUGAAGGCCUUCGGGUUGUAAACCCCUUUCAGGAGGGAAGAAAUUGACGGUACCUCCAGAAGAAGGACCGGCCAACUACGUGCCAGCAGCCGCGGUAAUACGUAGGGUCCGAGCGUUAUCCGGAAUCAUUGGGCGUAAAGAGCUCGUAGGCGGUUUGUCGCGUCUGCCGUGAAAGUCCGGGGCUCAACUCCGGAUCUGCGGUGGGUACGGGCAGACUAGAGUGAUGUAGGGGAGACUGGAAUUCCUGGUGUAGCGGUGAAAUGCGCAGAUAUCAGGAGGAACACCGAUGGCGAAGGCAGGUCUCUGGGCAUUAACUGACGCUGAGGAGCGAAAGCAUGGGGAGCGAAC